ACCCAGUUGGCUCAGUCGGUUGAGCAUCCGACUUCCGCUCAGAUCAUGAUCUCGCAGUUUGUGGGUUCGAGCCCUGCAUCGGGCU
rnacentral:tRNA from 1 species